rnacentral:rRNA from 1 species
GCAAGUCGAACGCACAGCGAAAGGUGCUUGCACCUUUCAAGUGAGUGGCGAACGGGUGAGUAACACGUGGACAACCUGCCUCAAGGCUGGGGAUAACAUUUGGAAACAGAUGCUAAUACCGAAUGAAACUUAGUGUCGCAUGAUACGAAGUUAAAAGGCGCUUUGGCGUCACCUAGAGAUGGAUCCGCGGUGCAUUAGUUAGUUGGUGGGGUAAAGGCCUACCAAGACAAUGAUGCAUAGCCGAGUUGAGAGACUGAUCGGCCACAUUGGGACUGAGACACGGCCCAAACUCCUACGGGAGGCUGCAGUAGGGAAUCUUCCACAAUGGGCGAAAGCCUGAUGGAGCAACGCCGCGUGUGUGAUGAAGGCUUUCGGGUCGUAAAGCACUGUUGUAUGGGAAGAACAGCUAGAAUAGGGAAUGAUUUUAGUUUGACGGUACCAUACCAGAAAGGGACGGCUAAAUACGUGCCAGCAGCCGCGGUAAUACGUAUGUCCCGAGCGUUAUCCGGAUUUAUUGGGCGUAAAGCGAGCGCAGACGGUUGAUUAAGUCUGAUGUGAAAGCCCGGAGCUCAACUCCGGAAUGGCAUUGGAAACUGGUUAACUAGAGUGCAGUAGAGGUAAGUGGAACUCCUG